CAGGAUAUGGCCAGAUCUCUCACAAAAGGCAUAAAACAGACUCCUUUGUUGGACUUAUGGGCAAAAGAUCUUUAAAUUCUGGAUCCUCUGAAAGAAGCACAGCACAGAAUUAUGAACGGAGGCGUAAAUGAGACAUUCCCGUGCGUUAUUUAUUAAACUUCAUUUGUUCCGAUGGCAGUGUAAUAUAAACUAACCAUUGUAUGGAAUAAUUAUUUAUUUAAUGAUAUCUGAAGGGGCUGGUUUUGUUUGAGUUGGUUUUAUUUUUUUUCCCCCGAGUUGUACCUUCAAUAAAAGGUUUAUUUUUCAUAUUGUGGCAGCGAUACAUGUUGUGUAGGUGCGUUGUGGUUCUGAAAGGACCAGCAACCCUGGUGACGACUCACAACAAAGCACAUUGUUUGAUAUGACCCAUAAAGUUAUGUUCACUGAACAAACAAAAAAUAUUCUUUUGUUCAUUGAAAGCGAGUCUAUCUGCUUCACAGCCAGUGCAGAACAGAGCCGGUGUACAGUCCAGUGCCUCAAUUUGUUUUCAUGGUUUAUAAUGUACUGUAAUUUCUGUAUCAAAAAAUAUAUUUGUAUCAUGGCAGCAUGUUUUAUGUUUUGUGACUA